UUUCCUUCCUAGAGCACUUUGAAUAGUGAAUUUACGUUUAUUUUCUAUUUGAUCUUUCAAAUCUCAGUGGGCAGACAGAAACAGAGAGCAAACUGAGGUUCAGGGAGGUACCCAGGGACAAUGCAAAACUUCAACUCUGGUCUUCUCUCUGAUGAUCUGACACCCUUCUACGUCACCACACUAAUCUUGUCACAUCAGGCAAGGACGUGAAUCAUCCCUUUGGUGGAUCCCCAACCACUGAUGUUGUCAUGGCUCGAUGAUCUUCCUUCUGACACAAAGCCUAACGCUACGUCACAAUGCGUACAUCACUCACCUCACUUCAUCUCAUCACGUAGACUUUGUAGCAUCUCACAUCAUCACAAGAAGAAGGGCAGGAAAAUGUCAGGUAAGAAGGAGAAAUAGUGAAAUGUGCACAUGUUCCUUUUUGUUGCCCUCCAAUCAUGAACGGAGCUCCACUCAGGACUUCAGUUUAAUCUCUCGCUUGACUUGGAAAGGAGAAGCAUGUGGGGAAGCGCUGUUGGUGGCCCAUUUUUGCAACGUAGAGCCUGUCUCCUGUGAGAGACCCAGAAGCUCCUUCUUUGAUAAUUAGUCUCCUGCCUCGGUCAGAGCUGUUAAGAACUCUGUAUGAACUGCCACCACUUGUGGGUGUGUGGAACCCCGUGAGCUUCCUAUAGCUACAGCUGCAGGUGACAUUUUGAGACACUUCUGCAAGGCUUUCUCAACUUACCUUAAAGCAGUGGUUCUCAGACUUCAGUGUGCAUUCGAAUCACCUGGAGGGCUUGUUAAACCAGCUGGCUGGGCUCCACCUGGAGAGGUUUAUUCGUUAGGUCUGGGAUGCAUCCUAAGAAUCUGCAUAUCUAACAAGUUCCCAGGUGAUGCUGAUGCUGCUUGUCCUGAAGACACACUCCAAGCUCCACUGGGGUUUUUAGCUGAAAUGGGUAUGUAAACACCCUAAGUAAAAUGGAGAAACCAAUGCAGUGAAUUAUUGAAUAAAUAUUUGUCAUAUAUCACAGAGUGCAGUGUAUUAUGUGAGGCGUUUGGGGACUAUUUCAGCUAAAUGUGUACAAUUCCGGCCACCUAAGAUCUUAAUAGUAAUUGUAAGACAGUGUUUUUGUUUACCAAGUAAUUUGAAUAAUCUCUUAGAGCAUGUUAUUUAAGAAAAUUCUUCUCCCUCUUGUAUAAAAUACUAAUCUAAU
rnacentral:lncRNA from 1 species